ACAAUUUAUCUGCCACCGAAAUACAUUAGCAUGGGAUAAUGGAAUAGGACCCUGUCCUCCUAUUUUCAGUUGGUUUUGGCAGCGCGAGGACUAGGGUAAUGAUUAAUAGGGAUAGUUGGGGGCAUUAAUAUUUAAUUGUCAGAGGUGAAAUUCUUGGAUUUAUGAAAGAUUAACUUCUGCGAAAGCAUCUGCCAAGGAUGUUUUCAUUAAUCAAGAACGAAAGUUAGGGGAUCGAAGACGAUCAGAUACCGUCGUAGUCUUAACCAUAAACGAUGCCGACCAGCGAUUAGGAGACGUUGAAUACAAAACACCACCAUCGGCGCGGUCGUCCUUGGCUUCUCGGUUACGCACGGGGGCGGGGGGCGGGUUAGCCCGAUGGCACCGGUGAAUGACUCCCUAUCAGCUUGUGAAAAAGG
rnacentral:rRNA from 1 species